GUCGGGAGUUAGGAAAUGCGAUGCGGUUAAUACCCGUGUUGCUUGACAAAUGCCCCAGAGGAAGCACUGGCUAACUACGUGCCAGCAGCCGCGGUAAUACGUAGAGUGCAAACGUUGUUCGGAAUUACUGGGCAUAAAGAGCUCGUAGGCGGCGUGGCGGGUCGGUUGUGAAAGCCCCUGGCUCAACCAGGGAACUGCAGCCGAAACUUCCAUGCUUGAGUGUGAGAGGGGAGAGUGGAACUUCUGGU
rnacentral:rRNA from 1 species